CCCGCACAAGCGGAGGAACAUGUGGUUUAAUUCGAUGAUACGCGAGGAACCUUACCUGGGGCUAGAACGCAAUCGGAAUCAGGCCGAAAGGUCUGCGCCAGCGAUGGCCGGUUGCGAGGUGCUGCAUGGUUGUCGUCAGCUCGUGCCGUGAGGUGUCGGGUUAAGUCCCAUAACGAGCGCAACCCCUACUGCUAGUUGCCAGCGGGUCAUGCCGGGGACUCUAGCGGAACUGCCAGCGUAAGCUGCGAGGAAGGUGGGGAUGACGUCAAAUCAGCACGGCCCUUACGUCCAGGGCUACACACGUGCUACAAUGGCCGGCACAGCGGGAAGCGGAGGGGCGACCCUGAGCGGAUCCCUUGAAAGCCGGUCCCAGUUCGGAUUGCAGUCUGCAACUCGACUGCAUGAAGUUGGAAUCGCUAGUAAUCGCGGAUCAGCCAAGCCGCGGUGAAUACGUUCCCGGGCCUU
rnacentral:rRNA from 1 species